rnacentral:rRNA from 1 species
UACGAAGGGGGCUAGCGUUGCUCGGGAAUGACAUGGGCGUAAAGGGCGCGGUAGGCGGCUUGUAUAAGUCGGAUGUGAAAUUCCUGGGCUUAACCUGGGGGCUGCAUACGAGACGUAUGGGCUUGAGUGCGGAAGAGGGUCGUGGAAUUCCCAGUGAUAGAGGUGGAAAUUCAUGAGAUAUUGGGAAGGAACACCGGUGGCGAAGGGCGGCGACCUGGUCCGUGACGUGACGCUGAAGGCGCGGAAAGCGUGGGGAGCAAACAGGAUUCGAGAUACCC